GUCAUCACCAGCGAGAGGAAGAAGUAUUGGCAGCAGCAGGCAGGCGGGCAGGCUGGGAGUUUGCAUGGGAAUCGUGAAAUCUUGUCUUUCUCUUUUGAAAUGUUUCGGAAGGAGAGUUAAGAAUAGCUCGGAAACUGGUCUUGUUGUUUUUGUGGGAAGAAUGACCAGAAGCCUAAAAGCUGAAUUUUGCAGCAAGUGCAAGGCACCGCUCUCCCGUGCUUGCAGUAAAGCUAACAGAGUGAAUGGCUGUCUGUAAAGUACUGAGCCAUGACACCUAAGAUGAAGGGAAUGGUAAAGCAGAGUAAUGACUCAAAGGCUGCCACCGAGAGCUCUUGUCUACCUUUAACUCAUUGUGGCAAAGUUGGACAUUCCAAAGAUGGCGUAGAUGAACAUGACCAGGAAGAGCAGGAGGCCGAUGUUAAACAAGGCAGGAAGGGACAUCAUCAGAGCAAAGAGCAGCGUGCGGAUCCCCUUGGCUCCUUUGAUCAGACGCAAGAUUCGUCCAAUCCUGGCGAGCCGGAUCACUCGGAACAGGGCAACAAAAAUCUCUGGAGGCCAAACGCUGCUCUAAACUGCCAUUGGUUCUAGCUCAGCUCUUGCAGACCUAUCACAAACUGGUGAGAGUCAUUUCCAAUCACUUUUAGAGCUCAGUUUGGAUGUUUCCGAGGAACUCUCAGAGAAGCCCAUCAUUCUGCUUCUCCCAAUGCUUGUGUACUCAGCUGCUGCAAUUGCAAUUGCCUGUUGGACCAAGAGGCCACACGUACAGAACUCCAUGUUGCACUCUACAGCAGUUCCCAGCAAUGUGUGAGAAAGUCUGCCUCCCCACAUCUCAGCCAGACAGCGUCUCUCUUUUGAUCUCCACCAUUCUAAGCG